ensembl:lncRNA
UGUGGAGUUGUCUGUCUGGGCUGAGAGGUUCUGUGGAGCUGUGUGUCUGGGCUGAGAGGUUCUGUGGAGCUGUCUGUCUGGGCUGAGAGGUUCUGUAGAGCUGUCUGUCUGGGCUGAGAGGUUCUGUGGAGGUGUCUGUCUGGGCUGAGAGGUUCUGUAGAGCUGUCUGUCUGGGCUGAGAGGUUCUGUGGAGGUGUCUGUCUGGGCUGAGAGGUUCUGUGGAGCUGUCUGUCUGGGCUGAGAGGUUCUGUGGAGCUGUCUGUCUGGGCUGAGAGGUUCUGUGGAGUUGUCUGUCUGGGCUGAGAGGUUCUGUGGGGUUGUCUGUCUG